CCUACGGGUGGCAGCAGUAGGGAAUAUUGCUCAAUGGGGGAAACCCUGAAGCAGCAACGCCGCGUGGAGGAUGAAGGUUUUAGGUUUGUAAACUCCUUUUGCUAGGGUAGUUCAUGACGGUCUCUAACUAAUAAGCACUGGCUAACUCCGUGCCAGCAGCCGCGGUAAUACGGAGGUUGCAAGCGUUAUCCGGAUUCACCGGGCGUAAAGCGUGCGUAGGCGGGGUAAUAAGUCCGAUGUGAAAUCCUGUGGCUUAACUACAGAACUGCAGUUGAAACUGGUAGUCUGGAGUGUGGGAGAGGUAGGUGGAAUUCGUGGUGUAGCGGUAAAAUCCGUAGAGAUCAAGAAGAAUACUCAUUGCGAAGGCGACCUGCUGGAACGUUACUGACGCUGAUGCUCGAAAGCGUGGGGAGCAAACAGGAUUAGAUACCCCAGUAGUC
rnacentral:rRNA from 1 species